rnacentral:tRNA from 2 species
AGCGAGAUGGCGCAGCUGGUAGCGCGCUGGGCUCAUAUAGGACUCGUCUUCUACGUCACCCAGAGGUCGUCGGAUCGAAACUGACUCUCGCUA